rnacentral:misc_RNA from 1 species
GUAGUGCUAUGUUCGACGCUAAGCAGAAUCGCCGCGGCAAUGUUGGAGGCCAGCAGCGUUUCGAGCAGCUUCUCCUCUUGUUCCACGCGAUGUUGCGAUUCCGCCAGCAUAAUCUGGUAGCCAGCGGGCUGUAAAAUUUGUUGCAGCCCGGCGUACAUUUCAGAACACCCCGCUUCCGCAAGGUUCGGUACGACCAUCGCGAUGGUGUGCGAGGAGGCAGACGCCAGCGCGCUGGCGGCGAGAUUAGGCAUAUAGCCCAGCUC